rnacentral:rRNA from 1 species
AGAGUUUGAUCCUGGCUCAGGACGAACGCUUGCGGCGUGCCUAAUGUAUGCAAGUCGAGCGAGGUCAGGGCUUCGGCCCGAAACCUAGCGGCGAACGGUUGAGUAACACGUAGGCAACCUGCCCCAGAGUGGGGGAUAACUCGCGGAAACGCGGGCUAAUACCGCAUGUGGCCCGAAGUCGCCUGGCUUCGGUGCUAAAGGAGCAAUUCGCUCUGGGAGGGGCCUGCGGCCUAUCAGCUUGUUGGUGAGGUAACGGCUCACCAAGGCGACGACGGGUAGCUGGUCUGAGAGGAUGAUCAGCCAGACAGGGACUGAGACACGGCCCUGACUCCUUUGGGGGGCAGCAAUGAGGGAUAUUGCACAAUGGGCGAAAGCCUGAUGCAGCGACGCCGCGUGGGCGACGAAGUCUUUCGGGAUGUAAAGCCCUUUUCUGGGGGACGAAACAGACGGUACCCCAGGAAGAAGCCCCGGCUAACUACGUGCCAGCAGCCGCGGUAAUACGUAGGGGGCGAGCGUUGUCCGGAUUUACUGGGCGUAAAGCGCGUGUAGGCGGCAGGUCAAGUCCGGGGUGAAAGGCGGGGGCUCAACCCCCGAGCGGCGCCGGAAACUGACCCGCUUGAGUGUCGGAGAGGGGAGUGGAAUUCUCGGUGUAGCGGUGAAAUGCGUAGAGAUCGAGAGGAACACCCGUGGCGAAGGCGGCUCCCUGGCCGAACACUGACGCUGAGACGCGAAAGCGCGGGGAGCGAACGGGAUUAGAUACCCCGGUAGUCCGCGCCGUAAACGAUGGUCACUAGGUGUACGCGGUAUCGACCCCGCGUGUGCCGCAGCUAACGCAAUAAGUGACCCGCCUGGGGAGUACGGCCGCAAGGUUGAAACU